rnacentral:tRNA from 1 species
GGGGCUGUAGCUCAGUGGCAGAGCACUUGCCUAGCAUGCAUUAGGUACUGGGUUUGAUCCUCAGCACCA